AUAAAAAUAAUGCAUUGUAUGCCGGAAGGGAUAAAUCUGGGGCUGAGUACAAGCAAAACAAGACCAAAGGAAGCUACCUGAGCAGGUAUUCCAGAUACUCAUGUCAUACACCAAGGUUGUACCAGUGCCCCUUUCUCUGUGACACAUCCAUCCACUGGAAACUUUCGUACAACUAGCUGAAAGAAGAGAAACAUCCUAUUUCAUGUCACUGGAGCCCUAAUGAUCGCAGCCAUUUCAGGAAAUGCCAUCAAUUACAGUGAGGAGCUCAUUCAGAAGUGAAAGAUGAGUUCCAUUCUCUGUUACUUAGAGGACAAUAGAUUAUAUUGGAUGUAGAUGAAGUUUGGGCAGAAUCAGGGAUCAAUGGCUCCAUCUAAAUUGUUGCACCAAAACACAGACAUACACCUGCUUUUAGAUUUGAAGAGUGAAUCCUCUCUGGAAAAUGUAGCAACUACUCAAAAAAGGUUGGAGGACCAACACUUCUAAGAAGCAGGAGCUGGAGGGAGGAUGGCAUUUCAAGAGGUGGCAAGUGGUCCUUCUUCACAGUCAUAUCUCUCAUUCUGCAAGCCAAAGACUCAAUCUGCAUAAUAUUCCAUGGUGUAUAUAUACCACAUUCUUUUCCCAGUCAUCAAUCACUGGACGCUUAAGUUGAGUAAUGGCUUUUUAUUGAGGGUAUUACAAAGCUCAAAUCUGAGAAAACCUUGUCUACCAUCAACCCUGACCUACAGAGGAGAGGCACCCCCAAGCUUAUUAGUGAUCCUGUCUCCGUCUUAUUGGCACAUCCUGAUGGCCUUGAUCUCUAGUUCUUCCUGUGGAGCAUAACCAUAUGGUUCUUUGCCAAGAUGUUAAGACCAAAGUCGGAGAGUGAACCCCAUGUCAAUGAAUUCUUGUUUUUCUGAUCUUACAUUCCAUCACUUUGAUCCAGUACUCUCAAAAUGCAAUCACAGUUGUACAUGUCUUCUCCUGUCAAUAAACGCU
rnacentral:lncRNA from 1 species